rnacentral:rRNA from 1 species
CUGGCUCAGGAUGAACGCUGGCGGCGUGCCUAAUACAUGCAAGUCGAACGAGAGUGCUUGCACUCUAGUGGCGAACGGGUGAGUAACACGUAGGUAACCUGCCUUACAGUUUGGGAUACCCUGGCGAAAGCUAGGCUAAUACCGAAUAAUUGGAUUGGAGGCAUCUCCGAUCUCUAAAAGGGGCCUUUAAAGCCUCGCUGAAUGAUGGACCUGCGGCGCAUUAGCUAGUUGGUGAGAUAACAGCCCACCAAGGCGAGGAUGCGUAGCCGACCUGAGAGGGUGAACGGCCACACUGGAACUGAGACACGGUCCAGACUCCUACGGGAGGCAGCAGUAGGGAGUUUUCGGCAAUGGGGGCAACCCUGACCGAGCAACGCCGCGUGAAUGAUGAAGGUCUUCGGAUUGUAAAGUUCUGUUAUAAGGGAAAAAUGAUAUGGUGAGGAAAUGCUCCAUAUUUGAUGGUACCUUAUUAGAAAGCCACGGCUAACUACGUGCCAGCCGCCGC